GGGCGGGGGAUGGGAGGGCCGGCGGGGGCGCGCUCGCCCCCGCGCUGGACAACAAAGGCGGCCCCGGGCUGGUGGCGGGGGGGGGGAAUUCGUGGGUGCCCGGCAGCACCCUGGAGCUGCGGGCUUUGGGGCAGCCAGGAGCGCCUGGGGAGGGCACCGCCCCAUCCCUGUGCCCCAUCUCCGUGCCCCCCGGGCGCUGCUGGGGAUUCUACACCCGGUGGUCCUGCAGGUGACCUGUCCGUGCUCUCUCUGAGACAAGAGCUCAUGGGCCGUGAUCUCUCCUGCAACAAAAAAGCAUUCAGGCUGGUACAGCGCGCCUGCUCCCCGUCCUCGGGGAGGCAGUGUGCCGGCUGGCAUCACCUGGCCGUGGACCAGAGAAUCCCCCUUCGCUGUGGGACAGGAGGGAACACAACAGCAGGCUUUGGCUGGUCUCAGCACAUCUCCUGAUCUUGCACAGCUCUGCACCACAGCCCGUAUUGAAGGGACGUGCUGGUUGAGGAUCUGCUGCGCUGGGUUUCAUUUCUGACCCGUGGAACUGGAUUCAUUUGCUCGUGUCCCCUUGCAGCCAGUACCAACCUCUGCAUCUCCAGGUGACAGCUCAGGUGAGACCAAGGGCCUCAGCUCCCCCACACCCAAGGCUCCAGCAGACCUCGCUGGGCUCAAUGGCUCUGACACUUCUGACAUUUCUUUUUCCAGGGGCAGGAGACAUUCAGUGCUUCAGCAGGGCGAGUUUGGGCAAACUGUUAGUGUAUCUGGAGGCUACCAGAAAUCAGGGUGUGGGUGAGAGCUUAGACAUUUCCAGCUUUUGCUGGAUGACUGCAGUCAGUGUAAUGUAGGAAAGGAAUCUCCUAACACCUUGCAGGAGCUCAGCCCCACGGCUGGUUUGAGUGCACUGGGAAUAAGACAAAGAAAAAAGAAGACAUGAUCUGACUGGAACAAGCACGGGAUGUGUUCCUCAGCUUGGCAUUUGCAGCAAACUUGGACAUCUCCGUUAAAAAAAUAAAACUGGAAUGCAUAAGCGGAGACUAUCCCUAUUUCUAGCUGUGGCUCCUCCCCUGUGUAUUUGGCCUCCCUGACAACUCAGUAAUUCAAAGCACUUCUUUUUGAGCUAUAAAAAGUGCCUGAGUGGUAAUGCAAUUUCUGGGAAGACAAAUAAGAGGAGAGAACGCAAGAAGAGUGCAGGGCGAGCUUGUGGGGCUGGUGAGGAGCGAGUCAUCCAGCUGAGGCCAAGAGCAUCUUACCAGCAGAUAAAGGAAGCCAGGAGCACCUUGUACCAGUGUGGGAGAAAACUGGAGCUAUCUCCUAAAGGGGUUAAUGCUGACCCUGACACCAGAUCCACACUUCCAGCUGAGCCGUAUGAACCAUGAAAGCUCUGGGUAACAGAGUGAGGCCACAGAAUUCAGCAAGCCCUGAAGUGCGUACCUCUGCCCUCUCCAGAGAAGUGUUUACCUCCACAAAAGCAGUCAGGCCUUGCUGACUGUAGGAACAUUUCAUUCCCGUUUGUGAAGUAAACAAAGCAUUCCUUGCUGGGAAAACACAGGAUCUCCACCAGGUUACGAACUGGGAACAAUGCCACCAGAAGAGAUUUUCCCAGGCCACGCAGAAGUCAAGAACUUCCUCUGCCUCCACCUCAGUGCUGCCGUAAAACCUCAAAACCCUUUACUCAUCACUCAGAGGUGGAACAUGACUGUUGUUGGAAGCAAUUCUGAAGGUUGUACUGCUGAAGUGAGCGGCCCAUGAGCAGUGGCCUAGUGACGGUGUGCUCGGUGUGCUGGUGACCACAGCUGUGGUGCUGAGGGACCCGUGGGGGUGAGCAUGGCCGCUGCCCAGCCCUCUCGGCUAUAUGAGCGCUAUCAGUGCCCAAGCAGGGCGUGAUUUGCUGUUCAAUUCUGCGGAUCACAGAGGGUGUGCAGAGCCCCAGCCUGAAUCAGUGGGGAGCCUUGUGGGCAGCAGGCCAGAAACCCAAGGGAUGCAUCUGGCUUGUACAGAAGGUGCAAAAGGCUCUUUGUGACUCCUUCCUAUGGCCACUGCCCUGAGCGGCACUCGCCCCAAAUGCACCAAGUGCCUUCUGCACCCAGAGGUCAGAGCCAAGUAGAGCUGCCAGCCCCAGACAUGUCUCCAAGGACAGGCAGUGCGCAGGGUGGCAGUGGGGGCCCAGCCUCAGCGCUGGUGCUGCAGGGUUCAGAGGGCACUUGGGCACUGAAGCAUGUCCCCACGGAAGUGUGGUCACGGCUGUCGGUGUUCAACAAGCGACUGGACCAUGCUCCUAGAUAUGUGGUUUAACUUUCAGGUUGCCCUGCGUGCAGCCAGGUGUUGGACUUGAUCUUCAGGGAUCUCUUCCAACUCAGGAUAUUCCAUGGGCUGUCUAGUGGAAGAGGGACAAUUCCUGGCUUCCUGCAGCAGUGUGCCCCUGUGUUGUGCCAUGAGCACCUUGCAACACUAUUUGCGCUUAUGAAACCCUGUAUUCUUGCUCGCUUCCACAUAAAAAUAAUGUCUGGAAAACACUGUUUUCCAGCCAGCAUCUGCUAAUUAAAAUAAAAAGCAAUGCCAUACACUCUCUAGAGAGCCCUGGGCUGCCUGCAUAGAAUAAAAGAGACAAAUGUUAACAAUAAAUAGCAAGUCUCCAGCCUGGCCCUGAUGAGAAAAGCCUCUUCUCCCAAUGAGUCCCUUUGUUUACUGCAACUUGCCUCUUCUCUGCAUGGUAAAUAUUUAAUGUGCCAUCUUCAGCAGCCCAGCUGCUGGAAGAAUAGCGCUGUUGGGGGUGCAGGGGUCUGUGCCUGUACAGGAGGAGCUGGGUCACUUGGCAAAGCAAGAGCUAGGGGAUAAAAACUGCAGGACCUCAACUCAAGGAACAGACUCCCCCAGGCCCAUGGCAUCUGGUGCUGUGGGACCGAUAACCACACAAGUCUGGUCCAUCUGGGAAGAGCACAGAGCAAUGCUGUUAAAUUGGGAUUAACUGUAAUUACAUAAAGCUGGGUACCAGUCAUACUAUGCCAAAGGCAGCAAAAUUAUGAAAGUCCUGGAAUAAAGUAAUCACAGCUUUGGUAAUCUGUUUUGUUAGUUUGGUAACAGCAAAGAAAUAGUCUUCUCACUGCAAGACUAAGGAUGGAAGACCUGGGCAACUCGAGUCAACCUGGCAGCCUGAGUUUCAUGACCAAGCUACGAAAAAAGGCUGGUAACCUCACUAUGAGCUGCCUAAAGCUUACUGAGUGCUGGAGCUACAUGAUUUCACAGUAGCUGCUGAGAAAAAAAAGAGUGUUUUUGUAGUUACCAUGCUGAUGCUUUUCGCUUUGAUGGGAACAGAGAAUGCAAUGAUGUCUGCCUGUCCCAGCACCAAAGCAGCAUGCCUGGCUCAAGGCACAGCAGGAAAGGGUUCAGCAAGCAUGUACUGAGCCCCACGGAUGGCACAGACACAGCUGAUGGACAUACUCACCUUGAAGCCCAUGGUGGGGGCAGGGAACAUCUGGGAUCUCCCCUCUGCUGGCCUGAAGGUGAUGCCAGAAGCCGUGAGCUGGGUGUGCAGCCUGGCAUGAGGCUCAGCCCGGCCUGAUGGUACAGCCAUGGCCACGUGCUGCAGCCUUCGUGCUGCAGAAGUUACACAAGGAAGCUGCGCAUGCUAGUAAGUAAAAUAUUAGAUGCCCGCAUGCAGCUUUGAGCCAGUAACUUCACCUUCUGCAUGCAGACCAGGGGUAAUUUACCUCCCACCCUGAUUAGCUGGGAACAGCAAACAAUGUACAAUGCAUCCAGCAGCAGCUGGGGACUCGCACAUCCGGACUAAAAUACCGGCUGUGCUGCUCAUUGCAUGUCCCCUUUGAACAGUCUGUCCCCAGGAAGAUUUCCUCUUUGGUGAGUUCAGAAUAAAUCAGGUGAGCCUGUGGCAGUGAUAAGGACCAGAAUCCAGCCUUUUUUCUACUUCUCCCACUGCUGCAUUGCUCUCGUUGCCAUCUUGGCAGCAGCAGGAUCCUGACUGCUUGGUUGAAUUCUCUGCACCCAGUAAAUGCUGGGUACUUAGGCAUGGCCCUGCACACCUGCAGGCUGCUGGCAAAGCACCUGCCAGCAGAGCCUGGGGCAUCUGGGGCUGUGCUCACCUCUCCUCCAAAUGUUGCUCACUGUAUGCUGGUAUCUGUAAUUAUCGACACUCUAAAAUAAAUAAAUAAAUAAUAUAAAAAUAUA